CUGCUUGACUAGCUGAGAGGAGGUGCAUGGCCGUCGUCAGUUCGUACUGUGAAGCAUCCUGUUAAGUCAGGCAACGAGCGAGACCCACGCCCAACAGUUGCCAGCGUACUCUCUGGAGUGACGGGUACACUGUGGGACCGCCGCUGCUAAAGCGGAGGAAGGAAUGGGCAACGGUAGGUCAGUAUGCCCCGAAUAUCCCGGGCUACACGCGAGCUACAAUGGUUGGUACAAUGGGUAUCUACCCCGAAAGGGGACGGGAAUCUCCUAAAACCAAUCUUAGUUCGGAUUGAGGGCUGCAACUCGCCCUCAUGAAGCUGGAAUCCGUAGUAAUCGCGUUUCAACAGAACGCGGUGAAUACGUCCCUGCUCCUU
rnacentral:rRNA from 1 species